AGCCACCAGUGAGGAUUGAACUCACGACCACUGGCUUACGAGCCCAUUGCUUUUCCCACUGAGAUAUGGUGGC